GGGCCCGCACAAGCGGUGGAGCAUGUGGUUUAAUUCGAUGAUACGCGAGGAACCUUACCAGGACUUAAAUGUAAGUUGCAUGAUUCAGAAAUGAAUCUUUCUUCGGACUACUUACAAGGUGCUGCAUGGUUGUCGUCAGCUCGUGCCGUGAGGUGUCAGGUUAAGUCCUAUAACGAGCGCAACCCCUAUCGUUAGUUGCCAUCAAGUAAAGUUGGGAACUCUAGCGAAACUGCCGGUGCAAACCGUGAGGAAGGUGGGGAUGACGUCAAAUCAUCACGGCCCUUACGUUCUGGGCUACACACGUGCUACAAUGGUAGUGACAAUGGGUUAAUCCCCAAAAACUAUCUCAGUUCGGAUUGUCGUCUGCAACUCGACGGCAUGAAGUCGGAAUCGCUAGUAAUCGCGUAA
rnacentral:rRNA from 1 species